GCUGGGCGGAUUAUGUGUGAUUUUUAUUUUUUAUGGGAUUUUGUAUUUUCCAAAUUUUCUAGAAUAAAUGUGUGUCAGUAUUAAGAAUAGCUCUAUCUAGGUGAUGGGAGGGAGAAGAGUAAGAAUCUUCCACUUCUUAACUAUUUCUGUACAUAUUUUUGGAAUUUUUCACAAUGAGCAUAUUCACAUUCAAUUAUCUACUAUCACAAAAUCCUAAAGGCUCUUAAAAAAUAGUAUUUUUGGCUGGGUGCAAUGGCUCACACCUGUAAUCCCAGCACUUUGGGAGGCCGAGGUGGGUGGAUCACUUGAGGUCAGGAUUUCAAGACCAGCCUGGCCAACGUGGUGAAACUCCAACUCUAUUAAAAAUACAAAAAUUAGCUGGGCUUGGUGGCAGAUGCCUGUAAUCCCAGCUACUCAGGAGGCCGAGGUAGGAGAAUCACUUGAACCCAGGAGGCGGAGGUUGCAGUGAGCUGAGAUCGCACCACCGUACUCCAGCUUGGGUGACAGAGCAAGGCUACAUCUUAAAAACAAAAAUAGUAUUUUUAAAAAUAGUUCACAGGACAAUACACUUGUGACUUAACUAAUGUCAUCUCGUGUAGUUUUUAUGUAUCCCUCAUUGUGACAAAAUACAAG
rnacentral:lncRNA from 1 species